UGCUCGAUGGCUUCGCAGGCGGCGCGUGCGGCGCUCAAGGCGUCGCGGGUGGCUUGCAGGUGUUCGGGGUCGCUGUCGAGGAAC
rnacentral:tRNA from 1 species